AGCACAAUGGGCUCUAUCAUUUGUGAAAAAUUUAACUUUUUCUGGUGGUACCGAACUUUGAAAAUUUAAAAAAACCGCAAAAUUUCGAGCGCGCUGAAAAACGUUUUUCUUGAGAUAUUUCAUCCAGUUACACGGCAACUACAAGAGCUAUCUAUUCCGUUAAGAUGGCGUUGAAUUCAGUAGUCCUUAGCGCUUCGAAUAAAGUUUAUUUUAUAUUGCGGCGACAAAUACUUUUCAUUUUAUUAGGUGUCGAACACAAAAUUUUUCUAAUGUUGUAUCGAAAACUUCGACAUGCGGGCAGUUAUGUGAUUUAUUCCAUAUUUUGACAUUUAUGAUUUGCAUAAGUAUUCAGAAAACAUGCGAAAAGUUGAAAAAAAAAAUUAUGUUGAUAUCUGGUGUAUUUCCGAAGAUACGAUUUUUAGGGUCAGCCGAAACAUCACCCUCCAUAAAAAAUUCCCCUGGAAGGCGCAGAGUGGUUCCAAACACAAAUUCUGCGGGUGACGCAUCAGUAUCUGGUCUGGCGUGAGAACGUAACCCAAUAAGUAAUGUGGAUAAUACUUUGGUCCAAUCGCGAUUGGCGUGUUUCAAAUGACACAUGAUUGCAGUUUUAAAUGUUCGAUGCCACCGUUCGAUCAUUCCACAUGAAGCAUUGAAAUACUUCCGCCAUUUCGUUGAGGGAUCACAAUUCAAAAUUGUCACUGACCAUAACCCAUUGAUAUAAAUGCUUUUAUGCAGAAAUCAGAUAAAGCCUCACCUCGCCAAGUGAGACAGUUAUCUUUUAUUGCCCAAUUCACAACUCAAAUUGAAUACAUUCCAGAUCCUGAUAACGUAGUGGCUGAUACCCUCUCGGGGAUAGACGCGAUUAGACUCUCUUCAAAUUUCGAUUUAAAUGAAAUAGCCAAAGAACAAGAAUCCGAUGAGCAAUUAUCAGAGUUACUGAUUAAUAACAACACGUCACUGAAAUUGCAACGGAUUGACUCGGGCCCAGAUCAGAAGGUUGCGUGUUCAUAUCACGUCGGGGUCACCAAUGUGGAUGCUGGUCACACUCGUAAAUCAAUAAUGCCACUACUCAAAACGACUUUAUUACCUUUUUACCAUUAACUGUUCAGCGCACGGUCAACCUACAAAGUGCCUGGUAGAUUACUCUCCGGCCUGAAGUUAAACACGCAUGACCGCAACGCACAUGUUCACCAGUGACUCUCUCGUUGGGGCUAAACACUGUGUGGUGCCUAACUAACAGGCAUCGGCAGACCCCACAAUGUUCUAAGGUAAAUAGUAAAUAGCUCAUUCAUCAAUUUUGUUUUAUUGAAUUUAUUUUAUAACUAUAUACCCAACAAAAAUAUGGCUACAUAGUCAUGAAAAUGACCUGGAUGGAUCCUGUCAAUUUUGGAUGGGUCGAUACAACAGAUUCAUUGGAACCUGUGAUGUAACUUCAAGAAUGUGUGCCAAAUGACACCCAACGACUAUUGGCAAUCUUUUGCAGGGAUAAAUCGUGUGCAGAUGAAAAAUGCACAUGCCUGAAAGAAGGCAUGAAAUGUUGCACCGAAUGUGUCUGCAAAGAUUGCAAAAACAGUAUGAUCGAGUUGGAUUUAGAUUCAGACAACCAGAUAUAACGUGUGUAGGUGUUUAAUUAAUAAAUAAAUGAUAAAAACAUAAAUAGCGUGUUUAUUCCAAGGUUUAAAAAUUAGGAGCCCCGCCACAACGUGCGCGAAGGGUAAUCGACUGGAGCAAUAAACUAAUAAGGCCUUAUCGGGGUAGCGAUCUUAGGUAUGGUACAUUAUGCUCUAUGAUGUUAAAAUAGCGGUAAGUCCUUGCGUAGUUCCGUUCUGUUUUAGGCUUAUUAUCAGACACUCUCUUCAAAUCGCUCAGCACCUACCCGGUAUAUAACAAACCUUAAGUAGUUAAAUGCAAAUUAUAAAUUAACAAGUAAAAAAUAUUACGAGCAUGAAGUGCAACCAAAUUUGAGUUAUUAAUUAGUAUAGAAGUAACAAGAUUGAAUUUAAACGUUGAAAGAUGAUUACAGCUGCAGCUACGGAUUACUAAACUGGUUGAAAAGGUGAUCGCCUUGCCCAAAGAGCUUAAUGCUGGUUUGGAAAUGUCGCCGACAUGCUUCACGACAGGAGCGGUGUCCAAUGAGGUGGUCCAAGCCGGGGUUUCUCCACUAGACGCUACCAAAUAUGGAACAAACAAACAAAUCUACAUAGGAAAUUCAUCUAUGGAGUAAUAUGCCUUUGUAAUUAAUAAAUUUUGUGUUAUUUCGUCUGGCAGGACAAGGGCGGUUUCUAUGUUAAUUUCCUUAAUCUGGAUUUUGGUUUUGUGUCGUUAGUUAAGUACUU